AUGAAGAGGUCUGUUAGGCGCGCUGUGACGUCAAUAUUUAAAACAAAAAUGGCGGAGGUAAACUCGGAAACUGCAGCGAACAGCAGUGCAUGUGUCGUAGUUAAAAAACUGCAAAAUGAGGUCAGAUCUUCCACGCGGUCAAUUAAAAGAUUUUCUUCCGAAAACAUAGCUCCUGCUCCCAAAUCUCCGCGCACCGAGAUCUCACCCUCAGAGGCCGAUAGACGACCAGAGGCGGAUAAACAGGACCUGGACUGCGAGGACACAGAACAGCAAACAUGCCCCAGAAGUCCCCCAGCCAGACGCAAAUCCUGGAGAAGGGCCACAUUAGGCCGCCGCUCUCUCCCUGCGCUCUUCAACCCUUAUCAAGUUCUUUGCAGAAACAUAAGCACGUCUUUGUCAACGCAAGAAAGACUGGAAAAGUUGAUGGUGGCUUCAAUGAAGGUAAGUACAAAGGCACACCUUAAGACUGAACAAUCAUAUUUACAAAUUAUUGUUAUUGCAAUAUUAGGUUACACAAUAUGCAAAAUCACUGAAGGUCUUCCACUUGGCUGAUAUU
rnacentral:lncRNA from 1 species